rnacentral:lncRNA from 1 species
UUGGGGCACGAACUGCCGAACUUUAUAGGAGACAUUCCCCACAAAAUAUCCCCCCUAAGGGGGUAUGUUCUGUGACAUUCCCACACUCUGAUUUCGCGUAAUUGGCCGCUCAUCCAAGUGCGAACAUGUCAUAACUUGCUUAUCUCAGUUAUCUCAGUUCUCGUAUGUUCGUAUAUACAGUUGCAUCAGUUUGUAUGCAGACAGUUGUUGCCUUGUAAUAAGCCUUGUUCUAUGAUUCAGUUCAUUCAAAUUAUCCGAAGCGUACUGAGAGGCAAAAAUUGAGGAUAAAACGUGCUUUUCCUCAUUUGGUGUGAAGUCAAACAUAAUGUACAAAAGUGAAGAAAUGAUAAAGUAUCUUCUAACUCCUCUAGAUCAAACGAAAAGCGUGUGUUUAUUUGUUGUUAUGUGCGUCAUCAUAACAGCUUUCUUCUUUUGCUGCAAUGCUCAUGAACCGGCAACGAAUGGCGAUGAAUUUUUCCUUGAAAAUGAACCAACACUGAUUAUCUCACAACCAACUACGGAAACUUGCUCAUCAUCGAACACUUCCAUUAACUGUAUGAACGACGACGUUUCGCUAGAAGAGUAUGAUUUGCUCCUUCACACUGCCCAGAGAAGUAAAGUUGAUACAGAAUACAGAAAAGUUGAAAUAGUAUGACAUCGACGACUUCCUGGUCUCUUUAAUCUAUUGUUGUUUUAUUUUGUGUCUAGUUUAUUAAUGUUGUUUUUCAAGAUACUCAUAGAAAUAAUAUUUAAUUUUAAUAGUUUUGUGAGCAGCAUAAGCAAACCGGUGGUUUCUGACCUUACAACGAAACCCUUAGUAUUUGAACCUUCCCAAAAACAAAGUUUUCCGGGAGCUGGAUUUUAUCCUGCAGUUUGCUUUGCUGCCUUUAUUCUCGUUGCGCUGACUUGGAAUUUAUUUAAAUACUGAAAAUGUUUUAUACUGAUGGUUCCUAGUAUUAGGCAAAUAGUGAUUACAAUGUGAUACUUUCUAUCGUAAUAAACAAAUAUCUAGCAUUA